rnacentral:rRNA from 1 species
UACGUAGGGGGCGAGCGUUGUCCGAAGUUACUGGGCGUAAAGCGCGCGUAGGCGGUUCUUUUAAGUCUGGUGUGAAAGGUUCACGGCUCAACCGGAACAGUGCACUGGAGACUGGGGGACUUGAGUUUGGGAGAGGAAGGCGGAAUUCCUGGUGUAGCGGUGAAAUGCGUAGAUAUCAGGAGGAACACCGAUGGCGAAGGCAGCCUUCUGGCCCAAAAACUGACGCUGAGGUGCGAAAGCGUGGGGAGCGAACGGG